rnacentral:rRNA from 1 species
CACGUAGGCACCAAGCGUUGUCCGGAUUUAUUGGGCGUAAAGAGCUCGUAGGCGGUUGAGUAAGUCGGGUGUGAAAACUCUGGGCUUAACCCAGAGCCGCCACCCGAUACUGCUCUGACUUGAGUUCGGUAGGGGAGCAGGGAAUUCCUAGUGUAGCGGUGAAAUGCGCAGAUAUUAGGAGGAACACCGGUGGCGAAGGCGCUGCUCUGGGCCGAUACGUGACGCUGAGGAGCGAAAGCUAGGGGAGCAACAGGAUUAAGA